UACGAGUGCUUCGAGCGUUAUCCGGAAUCAUUGGGCGUAAAGGGUGCGUAGGUCGUUUCGUUAGUCCUGUGUUAAAUAUGCCGGCUCAACCGGUAUGCCGCAUGGGAAACGGCGGAACUAGAGGACGGUAGGGGUUACUGGAACUCAUGGUGUAGCGGUGAAAUGCGUUGAUAUCAUGGGGAACACCGAUGGCGAAGGCAGCCUCCUGGGCCAGCACUGACGCUCAUGCACGAAAGCGUGGGGAGCAAACAGG
rnacentral:rRNA from 1 species